rnacentral:tRNA from 1 species
GGAGAGGUGUCCGAGCGGUUUAAGGAGCCGGUCUUGAAAACCGGUGACUCUUCAAGAGCCAUGGGUUCGAAUCCCAUCCUCUCCGCCA